UACGGGGGGGGCAAGCGUUGUUCGGAAUUACUGGGCGUAAAGGGCUCGUAGGCGGCCAACUAAGUCCGACGUGAAAUCCCAAGGCUCAACCUUGGAACUGCGUCCGAUACUGGUUGGCUUGAAUCCGGAAGAGGGAUGCGGAAUUCCAGGUGUAGCGGUGAAAUGCGUAGAUAUCUGGAGGAACACCGGUGGCGAAGGCGGCAUCCUGGGUCGGUAUUGACGCUGAGGAGCGAAAGCCAGGGGAGCAAACGGG
rnacentral:rRNA from 1 species